ensembl:lncRNA
GGGACAUUACAGUUACUCUCAGCGGAAUUCACUGGAGAAGGCACAAGUUCAUGCACUGCACUGGCCUGCACCACGAUUAUAAGAGCUAGCCUAACGCUUCGAGGGUUUCUUUAGCCUUGCCGUCGCCUCGGCCACCAUUGACCCAGACUGUCGCUCUGUGGUUGCUUUUUUGCAUAGUACUAAAAAAAAGCAAAUCUGUGAUAUAUGGUGGAGUAAUGCAUGAAUGGAUAAAAAGAGUGAGAGGUUAUCAGCUGUUGAGGAGCAAAUGGAGAUCCGUGUCCAGGGGAGUGAGGCUAUUGCGAGUGUGAAAGGUUGUCCAGGAAGUAACUAAGAAGACAUGAACAGAGAGGUGGUGAUCCUCAGAGGAGCGAUGAAGUAGAGCAGCCAGCACCCCAAGUAGAGCAGGCACUGUGGAAAAAUAGUUGUGACUCAACCAGACCAUUACAAAGUAUGGCCUGGAGGAUUUUCAUCUCAAGGUGCAAGAACAUUCUUAAUGACUGUACACGGCGGCUGCUGAUGGACGAUGUUGGGCCAAAUGUGCUACAGUUAGCGUUAAGGAGGUUGGAGACUAUGCAGAGAAGCCUUCAGUGGGCAAGAGGAAGACUGAUCAAUGUAACUGCAGCAGAUCAACUUCUGCGUGACUUGGCUGAAUUGAUUCAGGAGGUCGAACUGUCUACUCAGCAUGGCCAACAAGGCUGUUUUGGAUACCAGGCACCAGUGGUUUUCAACAGAGGUAGAGGUAGAUCCCUUUACCUUAUCA